rnacentral:tRNA from 1 species
GCCCAGGUGGUUCAGUGGUUGAGUGUCUACCUAUGAACCAGGAGGUCAAGGUUCAAUUCCUGGUCAGGGCA